UACGUAGGGUGCGAGCGUUAAUCGGAAUUACUGGGCGUAAAGCGUGCGUAGGCGGUUCGUUAAGUGCGUCGUGAAAGCCCCGGGCUCAACCUGGGAAUGGCGAUGGAAACUGGCGGGCUGGAGUAUGGCAGAGGGGGAUGGAAUUCCGCGUGUAGCAGUGAAAUGCGUAGAUAUGCGGAGGAACACCGAUGGCGAAGGCAAUCCCCUGGGCCUGCACUGACGCUCAUGCACGAAAGCGUGGGGAGCAAACAGG
rnacentral:rRNA from 1 species